rnacentral:tRNA from 1 species
AACCCUUGGUAUGACUGGAGAAUUAAUUGCCUUCUAAGCAGUCGGUCGAUGGUUCGAAUCCAUCAGGGGGCG